rnacentral:lncRNA from 1 species
UGCCGGCCUCCUGCAGUCUCCCAGCAAACACACUGGAUACUCCGCCUAGCUGUGGCAGGCCGGUUUUAAUUCAGCCUGGGCCUCAUGAGGAGGUGAACCACUUGGAUCUCAGCCAGGUAAACGUCUCAGACUUACAGCCACGAGCCAUCAGAAGACAUCUCCUUCAACCUUUAAAAUGUCUUUGGCUCUUGCUGUCUGCAGUCUGUUGCCGGCUCUGUUCAUGAUGUGUUUGUUAAACACAACUUUUUAUGCAGAGACAGGCUGAGAUAUCGGGGCUCAUAUCCUUUGUCCUUGUGGGAGAUAUGACCACCAAUCUGCCACCUUAACUAUGCAAUUUCCUUCAUUACCCUAUGAUGACUCAUCCAGCUCCCCUCCCCCUUUUUUCUCCUUUUAUUGCUUGAAGCUUCCAGAGAGAAUCAGCACUGGCAGUGUGGCCCUUCUGCAGGCCGUGCCUCUGAUUUACUGAUUGAUUUUAGCAUUAACGACCAGCCCCUCCCUUUCUCUCCCAACCCUGGACACACACACACACACACCCCUGCAUGCACACACACACACACACAGAGUGGACACACGUAUCCAUUGUCAGGCUCCUCCUGGCACUUACAGAUAAAGUAGCUACAAGCUGAGCCUGAAGGCUAAAGCCUUGAGAAAGAGGAGAGGAGGCAGGCUACAGCAGUGAGUAAAAAUGAAUUCAAAGCUUGUUUCUCUCUGUGGUAUUUUCACCCCCAACAACCUCUGAUAACACACUUCCACGGUGCUUCAAAUCAAUGUUUUUGUUUGAUUGUAGUAUGAUGCCUUGCAGGUUUACUGCUUUGGCUCACCCAUGACACCCACAGUCUAGUUUUUCAGUAAUAGCUGACAGCUGUUUUUAGCAAAAAGAAGGAAAAAAAACCCUCAUCACUCAGAAAGUUAACUACAUGUCAGCACCACAUAUACAGUAAAAAAAAAACACGUGAACAUACUUUAAAAGAGUCAAGUGUUGCCUUUGGGAAACCCCUGAGGAGGAAAUGUGGGACCCGCUUACAUAAAAGGUGAUGAUAAGUUAAUAUUGUGUUUGCAAGUUGUUUCUGCUGCCCCCUAGUGGCCCAAAAAAACAGUUAUUAUAAGGUUAAAGGGUGAAAAUUAAACUUUAAAAGGAAAAAAAAAUAGUUUGUUCCCUUAAGUGAAGAAAGUUGGACUACUUAGCUGUUCGCUCAAAGCUCAUAUUUAUUUUAGGUGAAAUAGUAUUGGAUGUAGUCUUAUCAGGAGCAGAACAGUUAAGUGCAAUCAUCCAUAAAAGUACAUGAAUAAAUAAAUGAAUAACUGGGUUUAUACACAUUUGCUUCCUAUACCAUCAUCUGUAGGUGUCAUGAUUUUCAGAGCAACAUUGGUUUAUGUUUAUGUUUUUAAUACUAUAUACCAAAGAAACACUCCUCUGUUCGGUCCCAUGAAGAUAUUUAAAAUCCAUGAGUCAGCACAUUGAGCUAAUCAAUAUAAACGAAUAAAUCAAUUCAGCAUCAGACGCUGAAACAGCAAGAAGAGCAAAGAAUUAUAGAGUCAAAAAAACAGGUUUGCUUUGGGAAAACAAGUCUAAUAUCUUUCAUCAACUUCAAAUUAGUGUUUAAUUAGAAAAUAGAAACCACAUGCAAACAAGCUUCCUAAUGAACCUUCUGCUGACUGACACAUGACAUGCAAAGAUUCUUCCAAUUACAUAAUAUGGACUCACUGCUCUGACUCAUUCCUCCUCCCGUCAUGUCACAGAGGUAAGUUUUCCUCAUUUUGAUGCAACUUCUCCCACCAGAGACAAUAAAACAAUAUCUCUACUGUCUGGAAUAUCAAGAAACUAGAGAUAAUUUGGAUUUUUGAAGCAAUGCUGCAGAUCUUUGGUGAAUAAAACAAAACCUCCACCCCUGUCAGUGCAGAAAAUAUUAUUAAAACAAGUCACUAAAAUGCUGUGUGGUCAGGCUCUGCACUGUAGCUUCACUGUGAUUUGUCCCAGCUGAGAAUUACAUUAUAGUCUGUUUUCUUUUUAACUUAGUAAUAAUAGUUUUAAUGUGAGCAUGCAUAGGCAGUGAACAAUGAAAAACAGAACAUCAGCUGAUUAAGUGUUUAUCAUCUCAACCGGUUAAACUACAGCAGGCCCUCCCUGAGGAUUAAGAGCAUAAAUAUAGAUCCUUGGUCGUCAAUUUAGCAAAUAUUUAACCAGUAAAUAAUUUCCUUUAUGCACCUGAAUUGUGUAUUUGCUCAUCUGCAUGGCCUCAUACACCACACCACACCAUACUGAGUUACUGUGUACAAGUUUCCUUCUGUCAUCGUCUAAAUCGUGGAUUUUCUCUUUUCUCUUGAAACAUUAAAAAAACUCAUUUUUUUUAGAUCACAUUUGCAAUGUCCCCCCAGUGUUCUCUUCAAAAUAACAAGAUGUACCAUUUGCUUUAAACACUUGACUCUGUUUACCGUUCAAACACUCCCGUUCCCUGCGGUUAAAGCAGUUAUGUCAGAAAGACUCCUUUGCCUGUUUGUUUACAUUUUAACCCUUGUUGUCAGUAAUCAUACCUCAAAGAGUGUGGGUGUUAAGUGACAGAAAGACACACCGGCUACUGUUCCUCCUUCUCCACCUAUAGAUGAAGAAAGCUGCACCAGAACUGAUGCUAUCCUGCUGUUUUCAAAAUGGUCUCAAGCACUGAAUGUUCUAUGUUUGGAUGUUGACACAGCUGUAAACAAAUCAGCUGGACGAACUGAUUAGAGGGUCUUUCUCAGACUUACGGGGAAUUGUUCGUUAGUUUCAGACAUGUUUAUGUAUAUUUAAGUGGGAUAAAACUGUAAUUUUCAGAGUAAUAAAAUGAGAACUACUGCAGAAAUGCUAAGAGAUAGAUCUUUAAGAAUUCAUACUGCACUUCAGUUCAGAGAUGUCACCCUGAAGUGAAAAGAUGAAAUUACCAAUAACACAUUUUUUCCAAGUAACAUAAAUGUUUAGCUAGUUUCAAAGGUAACCCUACACCCUCAGUGUUGUCUUUAUUUAAGGGAUGGGCGCAGACAGAACCGUGGGGAGGACCAGAAACGUCCCAAGAGAGUUUAAACCACAACAAAUGUUACACUUGCAUAAACAUGCUUUUGACAACCAGACUUUCUCUGGGAACUUUAUUUGUAGUAUUUGCUUUGAGUUAGGUUUGUUUCAAUCAGUGCUUAAUGGGUUGCAUCUCUGUCCUUAUAACAGCAAGGAUGUCUGGUUUGGUGGAAUAAACCUGGCACUGAGGCUUCAUGAUCAUCUUAAGAAGCAGCAGGAGGACGCGCCGUAAUCUCUUAGGCGGUGGAUGAAAUCUUCAUUUAGGAAAUGGCCAGAGCACUUCUUGGCUGCCUGCUCUAUCCCUCUCAGACGAAGAGAGACGAGGGGAGUAAGUGAGUGUGUGUGUGUGUGAGAGAAUGUGAGACAGAUCACUGCAAAGGGAGAGAGACCAGUGUGGGGGAUGGAGGGAGUCUGACAGGGAAGAUCUGCUGAGGGCAAAUUUCCAUUCUGCCAAAGUCUGAGAAAAAAAAAAGAGGAACUUCACCCUGCUCUGUCGUUACAUCACAGUGACCUUCACAACAUUCUCCUCAAACACUGUAUAUUAGCCGCUUAAUGCAAAAGGUACUGAACGCAAAUUUCAAAGCACUUAAGACAGAGAGAGAUUGAGAAACAAAAGUUAAUGACUAACAUUGCAAGUUUUCUGUUAACAUCCCAGCUGAUUACGUCAUGCACACUGUGUAUCCAGUGG